rnacentral:tRNA from 1 species
GGGGUUGUAGCUCAAUGGUAGAGUGCUUGCCUAGCAUGCGUGAGGCACUGGGUUCAAUCCCCAGCACCACA